rnacentral:misc_RNA from 1 species
AGAAUUUCUACUACGCCAUAGCUGGUAAUGUUUACAUACAAAGCUAGCUUGGGUACGUACGUUGUACGGUGACGCAUAGCGUGACAUACACGUAGUAAGAUCCAUGCGUGUAUUUCACACUAGAAAACGAGUGUAAACACAGAACUCAAAGCACUGUCGCAUGGAUCAUAGCCAACUAAACGCGUUCAUGGCUCUCAACUUAGAUGAUUAGUUCGUUCUACCGAAGCGAUCAAGAAACAUCAACCGUGCCAGAAAUCUUUGCUGGCUUCUGUUUUUCUGGGGUGUACUCUUGGUGCAUGCCAUGAGUGCUUGGCGAUUACGCUCCGAUAUGUCGGUGGAUGAGUUUCACCCCUUCAUUGAGGCUGUGCUGCCUUAUGUCAAAUCGUUCUCCUACAUAUGGUUCAACCUGCAAGCGCGGAAGCGCAAGUACCUGAAGAAGCAUGAGAAACGCAUGUCGGCACUAGAAGAGAGGCAGGUCAAAGAAGAGCUUGCCAAUGACAAGCCCGAGGUCAAGCAAAAGUGGGCGUCUCGUCUGCUGGCUAAACUGCGCAAAGACAUCAGGCCCGAGUGUCGGGAGGACUUUGUUCUCACUGUUACAGGCAAGAAGACCCCCAUGUGCAUACUGAGUAACCCGGACCAAAAGGGUAAAAUUCGACGCAUUGACUGCCUGCGUCAGGCUGACAAGGUCUGGCGCUUAGACCUGGUGAUGGUGGUGCUCUUCAAGGCUAUACCUUUGGAGAGCACCGAUGGUGAGAGGUUGGUCAAGUCUAUGAACUGUUCCAAUCCUGUACUGUGUGUCCAGCCACACCACAUUAGUGUCAGCAUCCGAGAGUUGGAUCUGUUCCUUGCAACCUUCAUUGUGCAAUCUCCAGAGCGGGCACUGAGUGAUUCUGGGGACAGCAUGUCAGUCAAAAGUGGCAGUGAACCAGAUUGGCAGAAUCCAUUAACAAUUGUAACUGCCCAAGAAGAGCCGAAUAGUUUUGCCACCAGCGGAGUUUUCUCUUCCAAUGAAUUGAGAAGACUUACGCAAGGGUCAAUCUGUGACGGCGCCUCGACCACCUUACCACUGAGUGAUCUAGAGAGUCCUACAUACUUCCAGUAUGCCCCGGAUGUCACACAACCACUUGCCACCCGCCGCCACAUCCAACCAAACCAUCCAAUCACCAAGCGAAUCAAGCGUAACUCCAGCACCAUGUCCUCAGCUGAUGAUGACGUGGAUAGUGUCGGGGAAGACACAGAGAAUCUGAACUUCUAUGGCCGGUCUCCGGCCUCUCUGAGCAGCCAAUCUGGUAGUUGGCACAGUGACAUAGACCCUGGCUCAAGUCCUGUUGUCCCGUCCAGCCUAGCCCUAGUUGGUCACAAACCCAAGAUCUCAGAGGCAGCCAGCAGUUUUGCUACCCAGUCCUCUCCAGUAACCAGGAGAAUCCUCAAAAUUGAACCAAAGAUUGAAGGAGAUGGAGGAAUGUCUUCAUGCUCCCUACAUCAGGGACUGUCCCACGUUAGCCAGGCAAACGAGUAUAAGGGUCAGAUACAAGGAACGAUGGCGUCUUUCACGGGUCCGUCCUUAGCACAGACCCCUCAUUACUCUAACCAGCUGAGGUUACACUCCCAGCAUCCUGACUCUGGCCCACUAUCGGACUUUGUUCAGCUUGUGUGCCACCAAGAUGCCUACCAGCAGCAAAUAAAAAGUAGUGCAGUCAGCAACACAAGUAGCCCCACCAAGAUAGCUGGCUUCAUCCCAACGGCAAUGCUUCCACCACCCCCUCCCCCUCCAAUGGCACGACCAGUUGCCAUAGCCACCGCCAUCGGCCAAACUGGUGCCCUGUCCAGUGUGACCAGUCAAACCAGCGUUCCUAAUUCAACUAGUGCUCAAGGUGCUGUCCUACCCCAGUAUCAGUCCUAUCAAUAUCAGUCCAACAACGAUUGGAUUUCUUACCUCCCCGGUGGCCACACCCAGAUCUACACCUCGAUCGACACCCAUCCCACGUUGGACGACACCCCUGAUUUCACUCGAUGAGAAUACAGAUUAUACCAUGCUGUCUGGUUUAAUAGCAGCUGCAACCAGUGAGGAAGCAUUCCUCAGCUGUGGGGAGAGAUUUUUGCCCGUCAACCUCACAGCGGAACCGAUGGAGACUGCUAGUAAUGCCGUCACACCCACAGUGAGUAAAUGAGACAAGCAACUA